UUCUACCCUGAUGUAAUCUCCAGGGAUCCAGGCAUCCAGCAACAUGACCUCCGUAAUGCUAUGAUGGACCGUGAGGUCUGGUGUAACGUAGUAAAUUUCAUUGUCUCAACCCCGGUCGAACAAUGAUGAUGAUGAGGAUGUCACUAGCGAAGGGCAUCCAGCUGUAGAAACCUUGCCA